UACGUAGGGUGCGAGCGUUAAUCGGAAUUACUGGGCGUAAAGCGUGCGCAGGCGGGUUUUUAAGCCAGACGUGAAAUCCCCGGGCUCAACCUGGGAAUGGCGUUUGGGACUGGAAGUCUGGAGUGCGGCAGAGGGGACUGGAAUUCCUGGUGUAGCAGUGAAAUGCGUAGAGAUCAGGAGGAACACCGAUGGCGAAGGCAGGUCCCUGGGUUGACACUGACGCUCAAGCACGAAAGCGUGGGGAGCAAACAGGAUUAGAAACCCGUGUAGU
rnacentral:rRNA from 1 species